rnacentral:rRNA from 1 species
GAUGAACGCUAGCUACAGGCUUAACACAUGCAAGUCGUGGGGCAUCAUGAUGUAGUAAUACAUUGAUGGCGACCGGCGCACGGGUGAGUAACGCGUAUCCAACCUACCCUCCACUCAAGUAUAGGCUUCCGAAAGGGAGAUUAAUCCUUGAUAUCGUCAUUCUCUCUCCUGUUAGAAUGAUAAAAGGACAUCGUUUCGGUAGAGGAUGGGGAUGCGUUCCAUUAGGUAGUAGGUGGUUUAACAGGCCACCUAGCCGAUGAUGGAUAGGGGUUCUGAGAGGAAUGUCCCCCACACUGGUACUGAGAUACGGACCAGACUCCUACGGGAGGCAGCAGUGAGGAAUAUUGGUCAAUGGGCGCAAGCCUGAACCAGCCAUGUAGCGUGAAGGAUGACGGUUUUUUUGAUUGUAAAACUUCUUUUUCUGUGCGAAUAAAA